AUGGAUAAAGAAAGUGAAUGAUGAUGGAAAACCAGACCAAGAGAAUUCCUUGGACUUUUUUGAAUACCUUAAUCAAAUUGAAUUGUUAGAAAUACAAGAAUACCUUAUUCCCACUGGUACUCAAAGUCUCUGAAUAGGCAACUCUGAUGAAGAUGAGGAGCAAGAUGAAAAAAACAAAGAGUGCUAUGAAUUGCAAGAAAAAAAUGUGUGAAAAGAUCUAAGUAAAUUGCUUAUUUGGGCUACUGAAAUAAAUCCAUAUAGUGCAAAGACUACUUUCUGAGAAAGCCAAUCAUGUGAACACUAGGGACAAAGAUGAAUAUACCCUUCUUCAUCGAGCAGUCUACAAUGGACACUUAGAUAUCAUCCAUGAGGUAACCGCACAAGGGGCAGAUGUUCAUGCAGUGACUGUGGAUAGCUGGAUACCCCUGUACAACACCUGUAAGUGUAAUAACACCAGAGUGGCUUCUUUCUUCCUCCCACAUGAUACAGCUAUGCAUGCCCAAACAAAAGGCCUCUGAACUCCAUUGCAUCUUGCUUCUGGGAACAAAGAUAGCAAAGAUACCCUAGAACUCCUCCUGAUGAACCCUUACAUCAAACCAGGUGUGAAAAACAACUUGGAAGAAACAACAUUUGAUAUCACCAAGAGGAAAAGUAUCUAUUACUAUCUCUUUAAAACUGUGGAAAGCUGUACAAAUUUUUCACCUCAAUCUUAA
rnacentral:lncRNA from 10 species